GACGAACGCUGGCGGCGUGCUUAACACAUGCAAGUCGAACGGAAAGGCCCUGCUUUUGUGGGGUUCUCGAGUGGCGAACGGGUGAGUAACACGUGAGUAACCUGCCCUUGACUUUGGGAUAACUUCAGGACACUUGGGCUAAUACCGGAUAGGAGCUCCUGCUGCAUGGUGGGGGUUGGAAAGUUUCGGCGGUUGGGGAUGGACUCGCGUCUUAUCAGCUUGUUGGUGGGGUAGUGGCUUACCAAGGCUUUGACGGGUAGCCGGCCUGAGAGGGUGACCGGCCACAUGGGGACUGAGAUACGGCCCAGACUCCUACGGGAGGCAGCAGUGGGGAAUAUUGCACAAUGGGCGGAAGGCUGAUGCAGCAACGCCGGGGGCGGGAAGACGGCCUUCGGGUAGUAAACCGCUUUCGCGUGUGACGAAGCGUGAGUGACGGUAAUGGGUAAAGAAGCACCGGCUAACUACGU
rnacentral:rRNA from 1 species